rnacentral:misc_RNA from 1 species
GAUGAAGAACGCAGCGAAAUGCGAUACUUGGUGUGAAUUGCAGAAUCCCGUGAACCAUCGAGUCUUUGAACGCAAGUUGCGCCUCAAGCCAUUAGGUUGAGGGCACGUCUGCCUGGGCGUCACAUAUCGUUGCCUGAUGCCAGUUUCCUCGUGAUGGGUGACUGUGCAGGGCGAAUGAUGGCUUCCCGUGAGCAUUGUUGCCUCAUGGUUGGUUGAAAAUUGAGUCCUUGGUAGGGAGCGCCGUGAUAGAUGGUGGUUGAGUGACGAACGAGACCCAAUCAUGUGAGACCCCUACCGAAUUUGGCCUUCAUGACCCACAUGCGUCUUUGGAACGCUCAUGACAAGACCUCAGGUCAGGCGGGGCUACCCGCUGAGUUUAAGCAUAUCAAUAAGCGGAGGA